AUGCAGCCCUGCGUCGUACUCCUCCUCACCCUAGCCAUCCUCCCUAGCCUCGUAGCCAGCAACACCUCAUCUCUCAUCAACACAACGUGCUCGAAGGCUCCUAAUGUGUCCUACGACCAUUGUGCCAACGUGCUCUCGGCCGAUCCAGCCGGUGCCUCGGCCACGGACAAGCGCGGGCUGCUCAUCGCCGCCGCUCAACGAACUGUGCACAGUGUGACAUCCACGGUGCAUAUCAUGAGCGACCUAAUACAAGAGCUCAACACUUGCAUCUAA
rnacentral:rRNA from 1 species